rnacentral:rRNA from 1 species
GACGAACGCUGGCGGCGUGCUUAACACAUGCAAGUCGGACGAUGAAGCCGGAGCUUGCUCUGGUGAAUUAGUGGCGAACGGGUGAGUAACACGUGAGUAACCUGCCCUUGACUCUGGGAUAACUGCGGGAAACUGUAGCUAAUACCGGAUACGACCCUCGGAGGCAUCUCCUGGGGGUGGAAAGAAUUUCGGUCAAGGAUGGACUCGCGGCCUAUCAGCUAGUUGGUGAGGUAAAGGCUCACCAAGGCGACGACAGGUAGCCGGCCUGAGAGGGUGACCGGCCACACUGGGACUGAGACACGGCCCAGACUCCUACGGGAGGCAGCAGUGGGGAAUAUUGCACAAUGGGCGCAAGCCUGAUGCAGCAACGCCGCGUGAGGGAUGACGGCCUUCGGGUUGUAAACCUCUUUUAGCAGGGAAGAAGCGAAAGUGACGGUACCUGCAGAAAAAGCACCGGCUAACUACGUGCCAGCCGCCGCUGUAA